rnacentral:rRNA from 1 species
AUUGAACGCUGGCGGCAGGCCUAACACAUGCAAGUCGAGCGGAUGAAGGGAGCUUGCUCCUGGAUUCAGCGGCGGACGGGUGAGUAAUGCCUAGGAAUCUGCCUGGUAGUGGGGGAUAACGUCCGGAAACGGGCGCUAAUACCGCAUACGUCCUGAGGGAGAAAGUGGGGGAUCUUCGGACCUCACGCUAUUAGAUGAGCCUAGGUCGGAUUAGCUAGUUGGUGGGGUAAAGGCCUACCAAGGCGACGAUCCGUAACUGGUCUGAGAGGAUGAUCAGUCACACUGGAACUGAGACACGGUCCAGACUCCUACGGGAGGCAGCAGUGGGGAAUAUUGGACAAUGGGCGAAAGCCUGAUCCAGCCAUGCCGCGUGUGUGAAGAAGGUCUUCGGAUUGUAAAGCACUUUUAGUUGGGAGGAAGAGCAGUAAGUUAAUACCUUGCUGUUUUGACGUUACCAACAGAAUAAGCACCGGCUAACUUCGUG